AAGACAUUCACUACACCAGAGGAGACAAAGGAAGCACGUUGCUGUUAUUGCUGUUCAUGGCCUUCUUCCAACAGUAAGGGAAGCUAGUUUGAAGAUAAACUGUACAAAGGAAAGUAAAACAAGAGAAGUGCAGCGAAAUGGUGCCGGAGCCGUGAUGCAGCUACAACCUAGAGUUCUCACAAUCUCUUAAUUUCCUGCUGUCGGCGAUAAAUGUGAUCAUUUUGGCCGAUUUGGUUCAGUUUUUCUGUUCCGUGAAGCUGAAAGCAUCCUGACACAGGUAGCUGGACAGUACUGGACCCAUCACAAUUUCAAUACUGGGAAGAGAAAAGCCAGUCCUCUGGGGAAAGAUGAAGCACUGGACCUACAAACUAACUACUUUCAACCCCUGGAUGAAUCUAGGAGAUUAGUCCCGAUAUCAAGGCAAUGUCAAGAGUGAAGGGGAGGAUCAAGAUUUUUUUUGAGUGAUUGUUUCCUGGAAGGUACCAUUCAAUUGUCAGGAAUAUAGCCGGGAACAAAGGAAAAAAUACCUGCCUUCAUAGAUCAUAAAUUCUGGAGGAACAGAUUAAUAAAUAACAAAUGAAUUUACACUAUAAAAUCAGGCACACAUUGUGAAGGAAUUUGCUUUAGGCUUGAGACGGAGAAAAGGUACCUACUUUCCCAGACUCCUUGCAGUUGGAAUUUGCCAUGUGACCCACUUUUGGCAAUAGAGAGGAGAAAAAAAAAUAACAAGAAAAUGACCAUGGAAAGUAACAACAACUGAAAACGGAUAAAAUGAAGAUGUGUGAAAGAGCACAAGAGUGCAAAACCAAAAGUAUACAAGGAGUGUUUAUGCAGUAACCACUUUAGAAUGCCUUUCCUCAUGUUUGAAGACUUCUAAACUAGGGCAAGGACAGAUCCCAGCAACUACUGGAAGCAUAAUAAAGGAGAAGAAUGAGGCAUUUUCUUCUCUCAUAUACAGAUUAUAUGUAAUUAGGAUGCUAAGGAUAAUUUUGUAACAUAAAAACGGAGAUGCUAAGGAGAAUGGUUUCACCCUAGUUUAUAGAAGGAGGGUAUACUAUGGUCUAUCAAAGACUGAAAAUUGUCCUCUGCUAAUAAAGUCUCAAAUCAGGGCAAUUGGAUUUCUUUCUUUUUUUUUUUUUAUUAUACUUUAAGUUUUAGGGUACAUGUGCACAAUGUGAAGGUUUGUUACAUAUGUAUACAUGUUCCAUGUUGGUGUGCUGCACCCAUUAACUCAUCAUUUACAUUAGGUAUAUCUCCUAAUGCUAUCCCUCCCCACUCUCCCAGCCCCACAACAGGUCCUGGUGUGUGAUGUUCUCCUUCCUGUGUCCAUGUGUUCAAUUCCCACCUAUGAGUUGAGUUAGAGUUACUAGUCUCAAAUAAAUGCUUGGUAAUGCCAUACAAUCUAAACAUGUUGUCACUGUCAACUCACUAUCUCAUAUUCUGCAAUGAUACCCUUCUAUAUUCUGAAAUUCCUUCCCCAUUCUCAGCAGAUAGCCUCAGAUCAUAUAUCAUACACACAAUUGAACAUAUCACAUAGAAAUUUCAUCAGCUCACUGCCUCCAAUCCAAUGAACCUAACAUCUACUAACAUCAACACCAUCCAGGAAACCAUGACCUCACCAGAUGAACUAAAUAAGGCACCAGGGAAAAAUACCAGUGAAACAGAGACAUGUGACCUUUCAGACAGAUAAUUCAAAAUAGCUGUGUUGAGGAAACUCAAAUUCAAGAUGAUACAGAGAAGGAAUUCAGAAUUAGAUAAAUUUAACAAAGAGAUUGAAAUAAUUAAGAAUCAAGCAGAAAUUCUGGAGCUGAAAAACGCAACUGGCGUAUUGAGAAAUGCACCAGAGUCUCUUAAUAGCAGAACUGAUCAAGCAGAAGAAUGAAUUAGUGAUGUUGAAGACAGACUAUUGGAAAUGCACAGUCAGAAGAGAAAAAAGAAAAAACAAUGAAGCACGCCUACAGGAUCUAAAAAAUAGCCCCCAAAGGGCAAAUCUAAGAGUUACUGGCCUUAAAGAGGGGGGGCUCAACACCCAAGUACAAAAAGGUUAGAGAACACCAAGUAGAUUUAAUCUAAAGAAGACUACCUUGAAUCGUUUAACAAUUAAACUCCCAAAGGUCAAGGAUAAAGAAAGGAUACUAAAAGAACCAAGAGAAAAGAAACAAGUAACAUACACUAGAGCUCCAGUACACCUGGUAGCAGACUUUUCAGUGGAAACCUUACACACCAGGAGAGUGACAUGGCAUAUUUAAAGUGCUAAAGGGUGGAAAAAAAGCCUUUUACCCUGGA
rnacentral:lncRNA from 10 species